CGCAACCCUUGCCUUUAGUUGCCAGCAUUAAGUUGGGCACUCUAGAGGGACUGCCGAGGAUAACUCGGAGGAAGGUGGGGAUGACGUCAAAUCAUCAUGCCCCUUAUGCUUAGGGCUACACACGUGCUACAAUGGGUGGUACAGAGGGUUGCCAAGCCGCGAGGUGGAGCUAAUCCCUUAAAGCCAUUCGGGGGGGGGGGGGGGUAGGCUGAAACUCGCCUACAUGAAGCUGGAGUUACUAGUAAUCCCAGAUCAAAAUGCUGCGGUGAAUGCGUUCCCGGGCCUUGUACACACCGCCU
rnacentral:rRNA from 1 species